UACAGAGGGUGCGAGCGUUGUCCGGAAUCACUGGGCGUAAAGGGCGCGUAGGCGGCUUGAUAAGCGUGCGGUGAAAGCCCGGGGCUCAACCCCGGGUCGGCCGUGCGAACUGUCGAGCUGGAGCACUGUAGAGGCAGGUGGAAUUCCGGGAGUAGCGGUGGAAUGCGUAGAGAUCCGGAAGAACACCGGUGGCGAAGGCGGCCUGCUGGGCAGUGGCUGACGCUGAGGCGCGACAGCGUGGGGAGCAAACAGG
rnacentral:rRNA from 1 species